UACGGAGGGGGCUAGCGUUGUUCGGAAUUACUGGGCGUAAAGCGCGCGUAGGCGGGCUGUUAAGUCGGGUGUGAAAUCCCGGGGCUCAACCCCGGAACUGCAUUCGAUACUGGCUUGCUGGAGUAAGGCAGAGGAUAGUGGAAGUCCCAGUGUAGCGGUGAAAUGCGUAGAUAUUCGCAGGAACACCAGUGGCGAAGGCGACCGGCUGGCCCUUUUCUGACACUGAGGUGCGAAAGCGUGUGGAGCAAACAGG
rnacentral:rRNA from 1 species